rfam:Hordeum vulgare subsp. vulgare, WGS project CAJW01000000 data, contig: morex_contig_94368
AUAGUACUACCUCCGUUCGGAAAUACUUGUCUGAGAGAUGGAUGGAUCUAGGCGUAUUUUAGUUCUAGAUACAUUCAUUUACAUUCAUUUCUCAAACAAUUAAUUCCGGACGGAGUAGUAUAAG